rnacentral:rRNA from 1 species
GACGAACGCUGGCGGCGUGCUUAACACAUGCAAGUCGAACGGAAAGGCCCCUUUGGGGGUACUCGAGUGGCGAACGGGGGAGUAACACGUGAGUAACCUGCCCUUGACUUCGGGAUAACUUCAGGAAACUGGGGCUAAUACCGGAUAGGAAUCCUUGCUGCAUGGUGGGGGUUGGAAAGCUUCGGCGGUUUUGGAUGGACUCGCGGCUUAUCGGCUUGUUGGUGGGGUAGUGGCUUACCAAGGCGUUGACGGGUAGCCGGCCUGAGAGGGCGACCGGCCACAUUGGGACUGAGAUGCGGCCCAGACUCCGACGGGUGGCAGCAGUGGGGAAUAUUGCUCAAUGGGCGGCAGCCUGAUGCAGCAACGCCGCGGGCGGGAUGACGGCCUUCGGGUUGUAAACCGCGUUCAGCAGGGGCGAAGCUUGUGGUGACGGUACCUGCAGAAGAAGCACCGGCUAACUACGUG